ensembl:lncRNA
CAAGGGGAGCAGAGACUACAGUAGAGUCCCCAGCAGGAGCGUUCCCUCAUUCCCCCGGGAAAUGCGUAGUCGCAAGCGUGUACAAAUAGAAAAAGAGCUUGUUUUUCCUUCGGUUUUUAACUUUUUUCGCUGUUUACUACUCUCUCUGAAGGUUCGAGAGUCCACCUGAUCCUCUCUCUCAAGUGCUCUUGUUCUCUCUCUCUCUCUCUCUCUCUCUCUCUCUCUCUCUCUCUCUCUCUCUCUCUCUCUCUCUCUCUUCCCUCUCUCUCUCGUUCCCUCUCUCUGCUCACCUGGAUCAAGGAAUGGUCUUUCAAAAGUUCCUCUUCUGAACCACUCCCCAAGAUUUCUUGUCUUUUUUUUUUUGCGAUUGCUAUUAUUUUUUUCUAACAAUCGUUGUAAAAAGUUUUUUUUAUUUCUGGAUCUGGAUUCGACCAUGCAUCUUUCUACGGAGCACAAGAUUGAGCUAGGACUGACAGAACAAGGCAUGGACAACCUUGCCUUCGCCGGCCCUGAGGUUGAGGACCAGCUACGGAGUGACAGCACUGGGGUUUCCGGCACCCCCUCGAGGGUAGAGCUGGCGGAGGAGGUGCAGGAGGAGCAGGAGGAGGUGGGGAAGGGUCAGGAACUGGUGUACUCCCUCAACGACCGACCCCCGUGGUACCUCUGCAUCCUUCUGGGAUUCCAGCCAGGUGUCUCCCAUCCCGCUGAUU